GUCCACGCCGUAAACGAUGGUCACUAGGUGUACGCGGUAUCGACCCCGCGUGUGCCGCAGCUAACGCAGUAAGUGACCCGCCUGGGGAGUACGGCCGCAAGGUUGAAACUCAAAGGAAUUGACGGGGGCCCGCACAAGCGGUGGAGCAUGUGGAUUAAUUCGUCAUUAACCGAAGAACCUUACCAGGGCUUGACAUCUGCGGAACCUUGGUGAAAGCUGGGGGUGCCCCGCAAGGGGAGCCGCAAGACAGGUGUUGCAUGGCUGUCGU
rnacentral:rRNA from 1 species